rnacentral:rRNA from 1 species
AUUGAACGCUGGCGGCAUGCCUUACACAUGCAAGUCGAACGGCAGCAUAGGAGCUUGCUCCUGAUGGCGAGUGGCGAACGGGUGAGUAAUAUAUCGGAACGUGCCCUAGAGUGGGGGAUAACUAGUCGAAAGACUAGCUAAUACCGCAUACGAUCUACGGAUGAAAGUGGGGGAUCGCAAGACCUCAUGCUCCUGGAGCGGCCGAUAUCUGAUUAGCUAGUUGGUGGGGUAAAAGCCUACCAAGGCAACGAUCAGUAGCUGGUCUGAGAGGACGACCAGCCACACUGGGACUGAGACACGGCCCAGACUCCUACGGGAGGCAGCAGUGGGGAAUUUUGGACAAUGGGGGCAACCCUGAUCCAGCAAUGCCGCGUGAGUGAAGAAGGCCUUCGGGUUGUAAAGCUCUUUUGUCAGGGAAGAAACGGUAGUAGCUAAUAUCUAUUACUAAUGACGGUACCUGAAGAAUAAGCACCGGCUAACUACGUGCCAGCCGCCGCCGUAACAC